AGCGGGAAGAGCUCAAAUUUUGAAUCUGGCGGUCUUUGGCCGUCCGAGUUGUAAUCUAGAGAAGCGUCUUCCGCGCUGGACCGUGUACAAGUCUCCUGGAAGGGAGCGUCAUAGAGGGUGAGAAUCCCGUCUUUGACACGGACUGCCAGUGCUAUGUGAUGCGCUCUCGACGAGUCGAGUUGUUUGGGAAUGCAGCUCUAAUUGGGUGGUAAAUUCCAUCUAAAGCUAAAUACAGGCGAGAGACCGAUAGCGAACAAGUACCGUGAGGGAAAGAUGAAAAGAACUUUGGAAAGAGAGUUAAACAGUACGUGAAAUUGCUGAAAGGGAAACGCUUGAUGUCAGUCGCGUUGGCUGGGGAUCAACCUUGCUUUUCGCUGGGUGUAUUUCCUGGUCGACGGGUCAGCAUCAGUUUCGGUCGUCGUACAAGGAUCGAGGGAACGUGGCACUCUUCGGAGUGUGUUAUAGCCCUUGGUCGAAUGCGAUGGUCGGGACUGAGGAACUCAGCACGGCUCUGCUUGUGCUUAGGAUGCUGGCAUAAUGGCCUUAAGCGACCCGUCUUGAAACACGGACCAAGGAGUCUAACAUGCCUGCGAGUGUUUGGGUGGCAAACUCGAGCGCGAAAUGAAAGUGAAAGUUGAGACCUCUGUCGUGGAGGGCAUCGACGCCCGGACCUGAGUCUUUGACGACGGAUCUGCGGUAGAGCAUGCAUGUUGGGACCCGAAAG
rnacentral:rRNA from 1 species